rnacentral:lncRNA from 1 species
CUUUUCCAAAAGAUGACCCAAAAUAAAACUCUAGACUUUUUUCUUAUCAAAUUCUUGAUCACCUUUAGUUUUCCAUUCACCUCCUCCUAAUGCAUGCACCAAAAUGAUUUAGAACCGUACUUUUACCAUGAAUUUGAGAAAGGACGAAGAAACAAAGAUGAGAUUGUUGAUGAGUGUUUUAUUGAGAGAGAAAAAAGAGUGAAAGAAUAGAUUGGAGAGUUUUGUUGAAAAUGAG